rnacentral:misc_RNA from 1 species
GCUCUGUUGCUCUUACAGACGAAUCAGGCUGUUCUGAUGCAUGGCGAGAUCUGGCUUCAUAUUUGCCCACUUCAGUUGAUGUUAUGUGGUUUAUUUUAUAUCCGUGGAUGAGGUAGGAUCUUCUAUGUUGUCUUGAUCUUCUCUUAAUCAUCCAUCUUGUCUCUUGUCUUGUUAAAACCUUUGCCAUUUUGGGCCUGCUUUUGUGGCAGGUUACCAAUACUUAACAAAAUUGUUGAUCGUCAUGUUUUUUGGGUAGAUCGAACGGGAUCUGUAGUUU